rnacentral:rRNA from 1 species
AGAGUUUGAUUCUGGCUCAGAACAAACGCUGGCGGCGUGCCUAAUACAUGCAAGUCGAACGGGGAAGUCCCGCAAGGGAUCGUACUAGUGGCGCACGGGUGAGUAACGCGUGGGUAAUGUUCCAUAGAGUGGGGGAUAACCAGUCGAAAGAUUGGCUAAUACCGCAUAAGACCACAGGAUCUGAGGAUCUAGGGGUCAAAGGUUUUUCGCUCAUCAGCCCGCGUGAGAUUAGCUAGUUGGUGAGGUAACGGCUCACCAAGGCAACGAUCUCUAACAGGUCUGAGAGGAUGAUCUGUCACACUGGAACUGAGACACGGUCCAGACUCCUACGGGAGGCAGCAGUAGGGAAUAUUGCACAAUGGAGGAAACUCUGAUGCAGCGACGCCGCGUGAGUGAUGAAGGACUUCGGUUCGUAAAGCUCUGUCGUAUGGGAAUAAGAAAGUGAAUGUACCAUGCAAGAAAGGAUCGGCUAACUUCGUGCCAGCAGCCGCGGUAAGACGAGGGAUCCUAGCGUUGUUCGGAAUCAUUGGGCGUAAAGCGGAUGUAGGUGGCUUUGUAAGUCAGGUGUGAAAGCCCAGAGCUCAACUCUGGAAGUGCAUUUGAUACUGCGAAGCUUGAGUGUGGAAGAGGUAAGUAGAAUACCUGGUGUAGUGGUGAAAUACGUAGAUAUCAGGUGGAAUACCGGAGGCGAAGGCGGCUUACUGGUCCAACACUGACACUGAGAUCCGAAAGCGUGGGGAUCAAACAGGAUUAGAUACCCUGGUAGUCCACGCCAUAAACGAUGGAUACUUGUCGUUGGAGGUAUUGACCCCUUCAGUGACGAAGCUAACGCGUUAAGUAUCCCGCCUGGGGAGUACGGUCGCAAGAUUAAAACUCAAAGAAAUUGACGGGGGCCCGCACAAGCGGUGGAUCAUGUGGUUUAAUUCGAUACUACGCGAAGAACCUUACCUACUUUUGACAUGUACUGGAAGACUCGUAGAAAUACGGUCGCUCGCAAGAGCCGGUACACAGGUGCUGCAUGGCUGUCGUCAGCUCGUGUCGUGAGAUGUUGGGUUAAGUCCCGCAACGAGCGCAACCCUUACCUUUAGUUGCCAGCAUUCAGUUGGGCACUCUAAAGGGACUGCCGACGUUAAGUCGGAGGAAGGUGGGGAUGACGUCAAGUCCUCAUGGCCCUUAUAAGUAGGGCUACACACGUGAUACAAUGGUAACU